UGCUUCUGCACCUUGUGCUUUGCUUUUAUUUUCUCCCAAGCAGCACUUUGACAAGUCUCAGCAUUCCCUGAGCCCAGCCUGAACCCACCUCCCACCCCAGGGAGUCACUGCCAGCAGGUAACCCCCCCUCAGCUGUAGGACCAGCCCUGUGCAGAGCCAGGCACAGCCCUCCAGGCAAGAGUGGUUCCAGCAGAAAUGCAUGACAGCAGGUGGGAAAGCAGCACCACUCUGCUCUGCUGCAGAGCCCCCUGCAAGGGGCAAGCAGGACAAGUGACCCCUGCCCAGGCAUCAGUUCCUGCCUCCAAACACCAGCAGUGAAGAGCUGGCUCCAAGCUCAGGGCUGUGGUUGCUAGAAGGGGUUCUGUGCUGCUGUUACCCAGGAGGGAAAUUCCCUGCAGCACAGCUGCAAGGAGGGAAGCGUUCCUGCCCCAGCAGCAUUGAAACAAGGCCCUAGGAUCGUUUCAGGCAGCACACAGCAGCAGGAAGGCAGCUGCGGUCCUCCCAUGCGAGCGACGCUACCGUAAAGUCACUGCUGAGGUUACUUUUCAGAUAACGGCCCUUGUUAAAUUAAACCAGAAAGGAAACACAGCUCAUUCAGCCUGAGAGAGGUGCUGGGCCCCAGCCAAGGUGAGUACGGCCCCGUGUAGUCUUGUGCAUGCAGACAGCAGGGGAGGCACCGAGGCAUGGGGAGCAGGGAAGGGGCUCACUCCACGCUGAUGGGAGGCUGCACAUUCAGCUGUGCCAUGCCCAGGCAAGAGACCUUCCCAGCCACAGGUGCUCUUUGCCAAGAAGCUGGCAACAGUCCCCCAGGAGUGUGAAAUCCAGCCCCCACCACUGCAGCAGGCAGCUGUAUCCCAGCAGUACGUCUGAGCACGCAGAGAUGAGCCCACAUGGAACUUCCCUCCAGGCCAGCUCUGCCCUCACCCCAGAAUCCCAGCAGUGCUGGGACACAGCCACAGCAGCUGUGGCUAAGUGCAUGCUGUGGGCUACCACCUGCUUUGGUCAGUGUGUGCUCAGCCUCCUUCCAUCCUGUCUUCACCUCUCCAGGAGCAUCAGCAACUUGCUGCACUGAUUUUAUACAGGUACUAGGGUUGAGGUGUCAGUGUGUGCAUGGUGGCUCGCCUACAGUCCCCCAGGGAGAUGAGUUGUCUCUGGCGAGAGGCUCUUAUCAUCAGUGCCCAUGCCAGAACCCCAUGGCAUCCACGCGGGAGGCCAGAGCUGCUCCUCAGGUCACAAGUGGGAUCCCACAUCCACUGGCGCACCCUGCUUCACCUGCCUACGACAUGCUGCAGUUCGAUGGCUUUGAACCCUCCUCACUCACCUGCCGCUGUGACUGCUGGUACUCGGCUUCACUCGCUGACAGCGCCCGGGCCAGUGCCAGAUCCUCCUCCUCCUGCUGGGUGGCUGUGCUGAGCUGCGUGCUGACUCUGCCAGGGACAUCUCCAGAGCUCGCUGCAGAGCCUCUUCCUCACUCUGAAACAAAACAUCUUGUCACCAGCAUGGCUGGAGGUGGCAGGAGCCUGGCCAUGCCCACCUCACCUGGCAGAGGCUGGAGAAGAGGGGCUGUCUGCUGGCCGGGCAGCUCCACUGCUCGAUGCAGCAACCGUUUUGGAGGAGGAUGCCUGGGCUCUCGCAACUGCAGCCCUGUCUGUCCCCUGGCCCUCACCCUGCUUUGGAGAGUGGACGCCCUGCCCCACUGCAGUCAUGGUCCAGGGGGUGCCGGUGCUUGAGGCAGUAGUUCUUGUGGCACUGGUCACAAAUCACCUUCAUCAUCUCCUUCUGCUUGCAGCCAGGCUUCAAACACUUGUUGGUUGCUACCUUGCACUUGCGCUGUGCAGGGUCAGACUUGCAGUCACGGUCGAUGUGCUCACCCACCACGACAUCGGGCAUCUCCCCGCGCCUCACGGGGACCGGGGUGUUGCAGAGGGGACACACAGGGACCUGGACAUCCUCACUUACCUUCUUGUAGGCAGAGGUGCAGUCGUGCUGGGCGUAAGCGAUGUGGUCGGUGCAGAAGAUCUGCUCGCAGGCGUCACACUUGAGGGGGAGGAAACCCAGGCGCUGGCAGGCGGGCCAGGAGCAGUGCGCGCCCACGUCCGGGAACUCCAU
ensembl:lncRNA